UCAGCUCUCUUUGCCUUUUGGCUUAGAUCAAGUGUAGUAUCUGUUCUUUUCAGUCUAAUCGCUGAAAGGCCUCUACGGAGGCUGAUCAAUGAUUGACCAAUUUUUAACCUUGGGCUCGAGAUCGCGGCGCCUGCGCUCGAUCGCUGUCCACUGUGUCCCUGGUACCACACUGCCUCCAGGAGAUGCGAAUUGAC
rnacentral:snRNA from 1 species